GACAGAGGUUGCAAACGUUGUUCGGAAUUACUGGGCAUAAAGCGCACGUAGGUGGUCCGCUAAGUCGAUUGUGAAAUUCCCCGGCUCAACCGGGGAACGGCACUCGAUACUGGCGGGCUUGAGGUCCGGAGGGGUGAGUGGAACUCCUGGUGGAGCGGUGAAAUGCGUAGAUAUCAGGAGGAACACCGGUGGCGAAGGCGGCAUCCUGGACCGGCAUUGACGCUGAUGAGCGAAAGCUAGGGGAGCAAACGGG
rnacentral:rRNA from 1 species